rnacentral:rRNA from 1 species
GAGUUUGAUCGUGGCUCAGGAUGAACGCUGGCGGCGUGCUUAACACAUGCAAGUCGAACGAGGAAUUUUAAAUGAGACUUCGGUGGAUUUUAAAAUUCUUAGUGGCGGACGGGUGAGUAACGCGUGGACAACCUGCCCUGUACAGGGGGGACGAACAGCUGGAAACGGCUGCUAAUACCGCAUAAGACCACGGAGCCGCAUGGCUCAGUGGGAAAAACUACCGGUGGUACAGGAUGGGCCCGCGUUGGAUUAGGUAGUUGGUGAGGUAACGGCCCACCAAGCCGACGAUCCAUAGCCGACCUGAGAGGGUGACCGGCCACGUUGGGACUGAGACACGGCCCAAACUCCUACGGGAGGCAGCAGUGGGGAAUCUUCCGCAAUGGGCGAAAGCCUGACGGAGCAACGCCGCGUGAGUGAAGAAUUAUUUCGGUAUGUAAAGCUCUAUCAGCA